ensembl:lncRNA
UGUAGUAACACAUUUAUUGAUCACUUUACCAACUAAAGAUAAAAUCUUAUACAGUCAGUAACAGCAGUAAUGUACUUUAUGAGAAGCUAUGCUUUAAAAAAUGGUGUUUACAAUAUGGGUUUCACUACAGAUUUUUCAAGCCAAGCUUUUACAGUGCUAAUCGAACAACUGCUGUACUUGAACUUUUUCCCUAAAACAUCAACAAUAACGUUGCAGACAAAGUAGCUUUUCCAUUGUUAAUGUGGGUUUAGAAUUUAACAAGACAACUCUAAAAGGUUUAAAACAUCCAUAACAUUGUCAUUACUUUAACAUUCACACUGAUAAAGUGAUACAUUUAAUACUUUCUAGCAUUAAUAAACAGUGUAAAAAUAUAUAGCAUAUAUAUAUAUAUAAAUUUGUUUCCUUUUCCUGAAAAAAACUAAUACAAACUAGUAGUAUAUGAUCCCCCCUUCAAGUUUCUUUUACUUAUUUUAAAGAUUGAAUAGUAGUAGUUUUAAAUUAACAGAAACAAAGAUAUGGAAAUAGAGAAUCACUGUUGUGCUCCCCCAUAACCUCUUGUCAUGGUUACUAAGCAUAUUAACCCCUUGGUAAUGAUGGUUCUGUUUUUGUUAACACCAGUUAAAAUUUUGGCACUGACUGCAGUGGGGAUAAGAUUUUGCCCAGUAUGCUUUGCACUGGAUGGUGCCUGGCCCCCUUCAUCAAGUGGUUAAAAAAUCUUUGCUUAGGAUAUGUCUAUCUAUUAUAGUUAAGAUUAAGCAAUGCUAUGCUCAAGUUCAUUCGCAAUAAAGACCAAAAAAAAAAAAAAGGUUUCAGUGUUAAAUUAGUGAUGAAAAAAGUAAACUUGUAAGGUUAAAUGAUCAUGUAAAAUUUUUACCAUGUUGAAAAUUUCACAGUGAACACAGUAGGCUAAUACAGCUGAAUGUUAAUGUUUGCAAUGCCUGCAGUUAUAAAUAUUGCAGGUAAUUAUUAGCACACAGCAGCUUCCUGGUUGAUGAAAGACAAAUGAAAAUAGGAACAAGAAAUAGAAAAAUUCACUGAAAGUUUCUAUCAUACUGUACAGUGACCCAAGGAAGACUAUGUCAAGACCUAUCUCUGUAUCACAACUAUUUAAUGAUUAAAUUUUUAUUAGUGCUCUAGGUAAUCAAGGACAAAACAGUUUUGCCUCUACACUUUAUGAUCAGGUCCAGAAAGCAUGUACAUCCAUAUUUGUGCAAGCAAAGAAUCAAAACAUCUAAACCAAAUUAGAAAUAGAUGUUGGAAUAGCAUGGACAGAUAAACAAGCUAGCAAAGGAAUAAAGCAUAAUGUGGAUAAAUAAAUGGUUCAUGACUGAAUAAAUCCAACCUCAAACAUUCAAAAAUUAUACUUCUAUAUAAAUAUAUAUUUCUCCUUUAAUAUUUAAAUCUGUGAAACAUAAAACCUUUGCUAAAACUUGAAUAAACUUAUCCAACAUUGAUGAUUUCUCUGCUUUACAGAAUGUAAGACAAAUUACUUUGCAUUAUAAGCAUUAUACAAAACGUUUUCUCUGCUGCAGUAGUUUGCCAAAGCUGCUAUAUUCUGAACUCAGCGCAAAGAUAAACAAAAACACACUUCUGUUGCAUCCUGUAACUUGUUUUGUCUAUAACCUUACCAUUUCAUACACUACAGCGCUAACAAAAGCAGUUUGCCAACAGGAUUUUAUACAGAACAUCAGAGACUGUAGGUUAACUGAUGUUACAGAAAGCCUUUGUAAAAAGCUAGUAUAUAUUUAGCAUGAAUAUUACAGACAUACAGCAUUUCAGUUGCAUUAAUAUAACCUUAUUUAACAGAGCCCAGGCUGCAUUAUUUCACAUUAUUUAACUAUUUUGUUUAAAAAAAAAAAAUCAUUUGAGCAAAUGCAAGCAUACAGAAAUUCAUCUGAUGUAAACUAGAUCUUAAAAUAAUUCACCAUUGUGGGGAUACAGAUUGCCACCUUUUUUCUUAUUUUGUUGCUCAUUGAUAAUAUAGCUCCUGAUCAAAGGAUGAAGGAUCAAGAUGGAUGAAGAAUGAGUGUACUUCUAGGGAUACAUUUUUAAUUAACUUGAAUGUAAUUUUAUUUGUGUUCAUGAUAUGUUCUGAAAAAUGGGCCAAGUAGUAGAAAAAUCUUGAAUAAAGGUAACUGAAGGUGGGUAAAUUACCAUGAACUUUAUCUUUAAGACCUUCAGAAAUGCUUACAACAAAACUCACUUCAUACAGUGCCAUAAGCUUUACAGUAACAAAAAGAGAUGCUGUAUAACCAUAUUUGAAAAUUGAUUCAUUGGCUAUUUACCUGCAACGAUUUGAAUAUGGUAGGUGCUUAACAUUUUUCCAAAUCAGGUUAGUCACUUGGGCAUUUCAAUGUCAAUUUACAAAUCUAAGGUAUUAAAAGGAAAAAAGCCUCUUCUGUAGUCUUGCCACUCAUAAAUAUGUCCCAAAGUAGUGCAUGUAUGCACACACAUGUGCAUGAUUAUGAAAGAGAAUUUAUUUACAAACAAAAAUAAUUUCAGACUACCAGUAUUUCAAAUGCCUGUCAAGAAUACCUAGUAAAUAGGCUGGGGUUUUUUUCUUUUAUUUAUUAUGAGGCUCGCUGUUGCCAAAGAUUACCUUGAGUUGAUGAUCAAUUAGUUUGAAUGAAACAAGACAACUCAAAUCUUUUCUGACAACAGAGUUGUAUCUUAAACUUGUUUUAAAGUCCACCUUUUCUAUAUGUAUUUUUAAAAGCAUGAAAAAAUAUCAAUAUAUUACAGUUAUUUCUCCCUGCAAAAACAAGUUACUUGGACAAUUACGAAGUAAAGCUUCUAUCUGCAUAUUCUUUAGCUUCCUGAAGCACCAUUCUUAGCUGGGACAUCUUUCAAAGCAUUGUUUUUGAGUUUAAUGGACAAGCAUUAAUGCAACUAAAGGUCUCUCACUAGUUUUAGGAUUCUCAAGACUUAAAAAGAACAUCCCGGUCCAUCAUUCCUACCUUAUAUUAGGUAAGCCAAAUGGGCAUUUGGGGUUGCACGGAAUAAGUAACUGAACAGCUAAACACUAUUUUAUGGGCAAAUACUCCAAAUACAGCAGUCAAAUACAGGAGGUAUACAUGUAUCGAGUUGAGGCACUCCAGACUGUGAGAAUUUCACACAAGUUUGAGAUCUGUCAUUAUUCUUCAGGUAUUUAAUUUUAUAAAAGUCUAUGUAAGACUCAAGUCCACGGGCUUGUAUAACAGUCGUGUUUCCUGUUCCGACUUCAAUACACCAUGACUUUAUACCUACUGAUGAUGAACAACUGCAUGUAUACAUAGUGAGUGCCAACUUGCUUCACAAAGCUGGGGCAAAGGAAAACAUAGGGCCCAUGCAAGGCAUAAUUUUAAAUGGUAUUUUGAGAGCACUCAGGGGAAAUCUUGCUUUCAUUCUCACUCCUACUUCCUCACUAUGGAGAAACACAUCUUGUCACAUCAUGUCUAUGUUAGAAUCGCUGAAAAGGGACUUCCCCUAGAAAUAGGGACAGGGUAAACUUGUAAAAACAUAAAAGCCUCCUUAGAUCUUUACCUUCAUGCUAUGGAGGGAGAAUGGCAGUGUCAUCAACUGGCCAAGCUGAACAGCACUGGCUGCAGGACUAGAGUUUGGCCCUAGUUAAGAUCUGAGGUUUGGAUCAACAUCUAUAUGGUUUAAUUACUUAGCUGGAUCCAAAGAGUAUGUGCACACACAAACCAACCUGUACAAGUCUUGCGUAUUACACUACUUAUUACCAACUAAUAGACGAACCAAGACCAUAAUAGUCACACUACAAACAAUGUACACAAAGGUGCAGUUAUUUUGGCACACACACUAACAGUCAGUUAAGAAGACACGUACUAGUGCAACACAUUAUAUUUGCUCUGUCAUGAAGGUAAAAGGUUUGUUUCUUGGCCAGUGCAAACAGAAUUCUCAUUCAUGGAUGACAGGAACAUGCCCGCAGAAUACAUGCAUCACUGAAAGGCAGGGUUAUGUUUUGAAUAUCAUACAUGCAGGCACAAAGAAUUAAAAUAUAUUUUAUAACUAUGUCAAGCCUUAAGGAAAAAAACCUAUCGAUUACAAGUAUAGUUUUGGUUUUGGAGAAAGAUAUAUAAGGAUUUUCUCUACAGAUGGUUACAGAUGCACAGAUACCUCACAGAUAGGUUACAGAUACCUAUCACUUGCAAGCCAAACCCAUAGCAGUCAUUUGCCUUUUAGUUCUGGCUAGUUUCAGAUACCAUAAAAAAUAUUACCUGAGCCAACAGAGAGAAAAUAUGGGUGGCUGAAAUGGUAAUUCAUGAACAAAGCUUUUUAUAAUGACAAAAAGUUGUCAGAAAAAUAUUUAAUUUAGGUAAGGUCAGUAAAAUAUAUGGAAAAUAUCAUACUGCAAUCCAAAAUAUCUUUGAGAGACAAUCUCUAUGCUGAUGAAAAACACAAGUUGUGACAUGUGAGUACUUCUGAAAUCUCCCUUUCCUUCCCUAAAGUGAAAAGGAGACAACGAAUACUGUAGGUCUAAAAAAACCCCCAGAGUGGCUAGAUCUUGGCCACUGUCAAAUGUUCAAAUAUUUGGUUACAAGUAAUGAUAACUGUUCACAAAAGACUGCUGAAACAGUAUGUUUUUUAAUGCCUGCUUCUUUUGUGAUAGCUUUGAUAGAGACAAAAAGCAGGACAAUAGUUUUGUUUCUGAUAUUUCCAUAUUGACAAGUAUGUUGCAAAACUCUCAACAAGUAACUAAAGCACAUGGAGUGACUAGAGGGAAUUAGUAAGCAAGCACUAAUAUGAAAAUCCUAAGAAAAAUUUAAAUUCUGCAUCCUCAGUGAGGAUUUUUCCUCACUGAGGAUUUUUAUUUCUUGUCCUCAAUCUUCCAAAGGCUUUGAUGGUCAGAUUAAUCCUCAAGUGGAGAUACAGGUACGAUUAUGUACUGCCAUAGUAUUUAAGGGUUUGAUUUUAAAUGAACAGUAUCAUUUGAAUUUGUUCUUUAAGGCAGUUAUUGCUGAAACAUGAAAGCAAAGAUAAUUAGGAAGGGUUCUACAGAAGAUGUCGUGUAGAAGAGUGCUACAUAGUAUAAGAUGCUGGUAAUCAGACAAGAAAGUCAGAUGUAAUGAGUUGAGAUGCCAAAAAAAAAAAAGGAGAUGAGUGUAAACCUUAUUAGGUGCCCAUGUCUUUACUUCAGACACGAUAUUUAGUUAGUCUGGAGUAUGGUGCACAGGAAGAGCAUAUGCUCUACAAUAGUUCAGCUUGAAAAUAGGUCACCUCCUGAGCUAUCCCUUCCCCUUGUCAUUGAGGCAUCAGCUGUACUUGCUGUCCUGAAAGUUGAGUGAAUGGCAGAUGAACUAGAAAACAUACUUUGCCUCAUUUCCAAGCAGGCCUAGAACUUAACGGCUAACAUUCAAGCUAGUAUUUAGGUUUCCAAUUUGCUGCAGAUCUCAGUGCAAAAGUAACAGAUGAAGUAGCUGACUGAACCCCUCAUACACAGCUGCAUGUGGUUCUUUUAUUCACAGCCUUUAUCUUCCACACCAACUGUAGUAAAAUGGAAAAAAAUCUUUCCAAAGUACUUUUCAGCCACAACUUCUAUUUGUCAGUGUCAUAUUAGACCGACCUCUUUUCAUGCAUCUAUUUGAUUGAAUUUUAAAACUAACUGUAGAAAUGAAGAAGAAAUAAAGUGUGUUCCUCAAAAUGAAAUACUGCUAUCUGAAGCAUCUUCUCAGGUCCUGACCCAAAGCUUCGACACAACUGAAAGCAUUUCAAAAAACUCUGCAUCAGGUCCAUACGUAGUGCUUUAGUUCAUGGUAGGGAUUUUAUACUAUACAAAUAAUGCCAAGUAAACUCUGGCAGAACCCUAGCUAGUUCUAUUGGCCUCUUCUAAACAAACAGUAGCUCAAUUUCUAGUCAGUGUCAGCUUGGAUCUGUCCUCGCUCUCAAUCCUUUGCAUGCCUUUUAUCUCAUGAGUGCACUGGUCUCUCUCACACUAUGAACUAGCAACUUAAAACCUAAUUAGACUUUAAAACCUUCCCAGUAAAUCAUGCCUAUGUAGCAACAGUCUGGCAUUACUGACACUCAGCAUUUGUAUACUUGAGAAAGCCUGUUGCUUUCCUGAGCUUGUGCAGCUCAGGUUAAGUGUCACCUGACGUGCCACACAAGGCAGCUAGCUAGCAACAAACAGCAUGUUGAAAGGGCUCUGCAGUAGACUGGACUUCACCAUUCAGGCUGGGUCCAGAUUUUUUCAGUUAUCAGUGAGUUAUGAGUCAUGUCUUCUAGUCAAUGGGAAGAACAGGGACAGUGGUUUUGCCUGUAACUUAGCCAAAGGAUUUAUCAAAGGUCAGAGGCUUAGCCUUUUUAUUCAUAAAACCUAGGACUAAUCUGGAGCCUUCUUCAGGUGCGCAGGCACCAGUGAUGUGGAAGAAGGUUCUCUAUAUUUAGGCAGUUCACUACCAUGCUAGAAUAAUUUGUUGAUAUCACAGCAUGCAAUCUUCUGUCUCAGAGUGUGACAGGUCACCAGUGCAACACAGGAGUUGAUAACCCUUCAUUCCACGGAAAUUUAUCAAGAACAGUGGGUAACUCUAGGAAAGGCUUCACAAAGCUGGAUGCUUCUCAUCCUGAGCAUCCUUACAUACAUAAAAAAAUCUUUCCAGGUAACCAGAGCCAACUAUGGGAAAGCUAUUUAAAUCUUUACAAGAACAUGUGCUGAGUUUUUGGCAAGCUUCCCUCCCUCUUCGAAACAAAACCCAAAGUAAGUUAUAAACAAACAAAAACAAUCUCCAAGUUCACAAGGAAGUCCUUGCC